rnacentral:rRNA from 1 species
AACAUCUUUAUAGUGAAACUGCGAAUGGCUCAUUAAAUCAGUUAUAAUUUACUUGAUAAUUUUAUACCAGUGGAUAACCGUGGUAAUUCUAUGGCUAAUACAUACAUUAAAAGGGCUUUGCUAUGCAAAGCCUGUAGUUAUUAGAUACAAAACCAAUGCAUGCAAAUGCUUAUUUGGUGACUCAUAGUAAACUUACAGAUCGUUGCUUUUUGCGACGUGUCAAUCAAAUUUCUGCCCUAUCAACUGUCGAUGGUAAGGUAGUGGCUUACCAUGGUUGUAACGGGUGACGGGGAAUAAGGGUUCUAUUCCGGAGAGGGAGCCUGAGAAACGGCUACCACAUCCAAGGAAGGCAGCAGGCGCGCAAAUUACCCAAUCCUAACACAGGGAGGUAGUGACAAUAAAUAACAAUCCAGGGCCCUUAUGGGUCAUGGAAUUGGAAUGAAUACAAAUUAAAACUCUUAAUGAGGAACCAUUGGAGGGCAAGUCUGGUGCCAGCAGCCGCGGUAAUUCCAGCUCCAAUAGCGUAUAUUAAAGUUGUUGCAGUUAAAACGCCCGUAGUCGAAUUUUUGGGGGAAAGAAGGUUAAGAGGGGUGCUGGCUUUGGUUAGUAUCUCUCUUUUCCUUUAGACCCUCAUUUUAAAUUCCUGGUCUUUGGGCCUAUCUGCAACUUUACUGGUGUGGGUAGGUCAUUUCCUUUUGGUGGGCCAGGAAUGAUUACUUUGAAAAAAUUAGAGUGUUCAAAGCGGGCUUUUUAAGCCGAAUACAUUAGCAUGGAAUAAUAAAAUAAGACUAUGGUUUUAUUUUGUUGGUUUAUAAAACUAAAGAAAUGAUGAAUAGGUUUGGUUGGGGACAUUAGUAUUUAAUAGUCAGAGGUGAAAUUCUUGGAUUUAUGAAAGACUAACUUCUGCGAAAGCAUUUGUCAAGGACAAACCCAUUGAUCAAGGACGAAAGUUGGGGGAUCGAAGAUGAUUAGAUACCGUCGUAGUCUCAACCAUAAACUAUGCCAACUAGGGAUUGGGCUUGAUCUGAUCAGGCUCAGCACCUUGUGAGAAAUCAAAGUUUUGG